rnacentral:snoRNA from 1 species
GUUGAGGUCUAUUUUGUUGAAGCUUUUCUUGUAGCUGCACAUCUUUAGAAACACCUCAUAGAGAAAUUGUGAUUUUUGCUUGACUCACAGGACUGUUUUGUUAGAUCUGUGGGAAGGAACUAUAAGACAGAG